AUAUUUUCAGGUGAUGGAGUUCGCCUUUAACUGCGUAAUGCUAAUGACUCCUACAAAAUA
rfam:Clostridium sp. Maddingley MBC34-26 contig_203_1, whole genome shotgun sequence.